rnacentral:sRNA from 1 species
AUAAACAAACAAAAAAACACCAAAAAAAAA